UACGAAGGGGGCUAGCGUUGUUCGGAAUUACUGGGCGUAAAGCGUGCGCAGGCGGCCUUCCAAGUCAGGGGUGAAAGCCCAGAGCUCAACUCUGGAAUUGCCUUUGAGACUGUGAGGCUUGAGUACGGGAGAGGUGAGUGGAAUUCCCAGUGUAGAGGUGAAAUUCGUAGAUAUUGGGAAGAACACCGGUGGCGAAGGCGGCUCACUGGCCCGAAACUGACGCUGAGGCACGAAAGCGUGGGGAGCAAACAGG
rnacentral:rRNA from 1 species